CUGGGUGUGGCUCAGUGGUAGAGCCCUUGCCUAGCAUGCAGGAGGCCCUGGGUUCCAUCCCCAGCAUUGAGA